ensembl:lncRNA
GUAGUAGUAGCCAAGUGCAUGGCUCUUCUUGAAGGUUCUGGUACAAAGUGAUCCAUAUGAAGGUUCUUGAACAAAGUGAUCCAUAUGAAGGUUCUUGAACAAAGUGAUCCAUAUGAAGGUUCUGGAACAAAGUGGUCCAUAUGAAGGUUCUGGAACAAAGUGGUUCAUAUGAUGGUUCUGGAACACAGAGGUCCUUGUCAAGGUUCUGGAACAGAGAGGUCCAUGUGAAGGUUCUGGAACAGAGAGGUCCAUGUGAAGGUUCUGGAACAGAGAGGUCCAUGUGAAGGUUCUGGAACAGAGAGGUCCAUGUGAAGGUUCUGGAACAGAGAGGUCCAUGUGAAGGUAUUUCUGUCCACUAACUAGCUUGUGUGUACUUGCAGGUUCCAGUCUUAUCUCCUGGUGUGUGUUUGGGUUUCUAUACGUUUUUAACUUCGCUACUUUAAA